ACUAUGACAGAGAAACCUACUCAAACCACCAAUUUACCAUGGGUGGAAAAGUAUCGACCGAAAAAAUUAGAUGAUUUGAUAUCUCACGAGGAAAUCAUCAAAACUAUAAAUAAAUUCAUUGAUGAAAAUCAGCUUCCUCAUCUCCUUUUUUAUGGGCCUCCUGGUACAGGGAAAACAAGUACAAUACUUGCUUGUGCACGUAAAUUAUAUACACCAGCUCAAUUUAAUUCAAUGGUAUUAGAAAUGAAUGCUUCAGACGAUAGAGGUAUUGGUAUAGUUAGAGGACAGAUCCUUAGCUUUGCAAGUACAGGCACAAUGUACAGAUCUGGUUUUAAAUUAAUCAUCCUUGAUGAAGCUGAUGCUAUGACAAAGGAUGCCCAGAAUGCUCUUAGGAGAAUAAUAGAGAAGUACACAGACAAUGUAAGGUUUUGUAUUAUAUGUAAUUAUCUCAGUCAAAUUAUCCCUGCCCUUCAGUCUCGGUGCACUAAAUUUAGGUUUGGCCCAUUGUCUACAGACCAAAUUUUACCAAGGCUAGAUACCAUUAUUAAAGAAGAGAAUUUAAAUGUUUCGGAGGAUGGAAAACAAGCAUUGAUAACAUUGAGUGGAGGAGAUAUGAGGAAAGUUUUGAAUGUCCUCCAAAGUACUUCGCUUGCUUUCAGUGCAGUAACAGAAGAAAAUGUUUAUUCUUGUGUAGGACAUCCUCUUCCAAUUGAUAUAAAAAACAUCAUCAAUUGGUUGUUGAAUGAAUCGUAUGAAUUAUGUUAUUGUAAAAUACAAGACAUAAAACUAAAGAAAGGACUGGCAUUGCAGGAUAUAUUAACAGAACUGCAUCUGUUUGUAAAUAAAAUUGAAUUUCCAGAUUCCAUACUUAUCGAUUUAGUAAUUAAACUAGCCGAAAUAGAGAAAAGAGUAUCUAUUGGUUGUAGCGAAGCGGUACAAUUAAAUGCCCUCGUUUCAGCAUUUCAGAGAGCUCGCGAUAUCGAGAUUUCUUAGUGCGUACAACAUUUGAGGAUCGAAUUCUAUGAAUUGAGGUAAUAUCGAAUUUGAAGCACUAUAUCUUCGUAUAAAGAAUUUUAGAAUAAUACUUAAUUUGGUAAGAAUGUAUUAUUUACGAUUGUUACUAUGUAUAAUAAAGAAAAAAUCGAGAUUUUUAGAAAACCAUACACAUGAAGCAAUGGAUUCUCCCAUGCGCUCCUAUCCACCUUGUUUUUAAUUCUAUAAUAAAUUAAAUUCUUUCGUGAACGGUAUCAAAGCAGUAAAUUUCUGAAAAUAUGUUGUCAAGGACUACAUCACAAAUCAGUCAAAUCAUCUAAGCGAUACAGUGCUUGUUAAUUUUUAUUUGGUCCUAUCCAUGUAUCCUCGAUAAUUCAUGUGUAUGGAACAGUUAUAGGAACCUUAUCCCCGAAAUGAUAAGUUUUGCCGGAGUAAUAACUGACAGACGUAUUUAGAUGUAUCUGGUGCAAUCACCGUGUGACGAUAACAUUUGAUCGUACAAGUGAAACAGUGUCCGCCAGUGGUCCGACAAAUGUCGCUCAAUCAGCACGCGAUCAUUCAAGUACCAUGUCGACAAAAACAUAUCUAGAGACUAAACAUGCAAUGCUACACUAUUUUCUGCACUGUGAAUACUUUCCAGGAUACUUUGAAUCAUGUUUAGAGAAAAUGGUUUUCUUAUGUUUUAUUUCACGUGCAGUAAAUCUUUUUCGAAAAAUAACUAAAGUUAUGUUUCAAUUCGCCCAUGAAUUAUAAUCCUCGAUUAUUCUGAUAUUUGUUUUGGCAAUGAUUCAUAUAAAAUAUUUUUCGUUUAACGUGUGUGCCAUUACGGUAACGGUAUGUUUUAUCCAGUUUUAAUUAUGCUUCCACGCUCGAAAUAUUUUGUAACUUUUACCGAAACACGACACUUGCUGGCUUGUUCAAUUUCUGUUCAUGUUCCGUAAUUUCGAAGGGAAUUUCCACUUGAACGAGUGGAACUCGGCCGUGAGUGUUUCGUCAACUAUAAUUGCGUCCUUCGCCUAAUUAGUUGGCAUUAAUAAUAAUGUAUAUCAGAGAAGCUCGAUGAAAUUAGACGAUACGAAGGAAUAUUAAUCAUUUGAUUACCACUAAUGAAUAUGUAUCGAAAAACUAGUGCGGUUUUGCGCCAGCGCUCAAUUUACAUCGCUGGCACGUGUUAAUACGUUGUACAUUAUUGUUACAGCCGUGAAUGGAGAAGCUGCUUGCAUAUAUCAUAGUCCUGAAAGUGAGGCGAAACUGCUGAAAUCGUCCCAGUCUAUAUCUAUGCCUAAGUAGAAUAACCUGACACAGGACCGGCACGCUAUUAUCUUCCUCUCCUUUUCUCUCGUUCUUUGGAAUCCUCGCAAUUCAUUAGCGAAUACAGGUCCCCAAACAAUUCCUUAUGUUAUAACCUUAUUUCAUCAAUUUUUAGUUAACUUAUUAAAAUAAAGUGAAAUUGAAUUUGAUUGUUUAUUUUUUUAGGGAAAAUAGAAGAAAUGUGAAUAUCGUAGAAUUAUAUGUUCUGAUUAGAUAGGUAUUACAUCGGAAUUGCGAUUUAAUCACAAAUAAUCAUAAUACAAGUAUAGAUUUUAAUUCAGAGUUUCACGGAUAGUAUUAAUAUAGGCACUACUACUGCCGUGGAUGGUUUGCGUUAUAAGUUCUUAUAUCACAUAUAAACUGCGCUGCGCCGACCUUGUUAUACAUAUAUUCCCUUUACAUAAAGGAGGAUCAUGCAACCGAGGAUUUUAUUCUUCGACUUCGGUUAAGAAGUAAUGUAAUAAUUUUUCUUUCCUUACUUUCUUUUUCCAAUUAUCAUAUGCACUGUACAAGUUUUCUUCGUUUUCUUUUUACAUUUGUGAAACUUUCCCAAAUUAGCAUACAACACGCACCUCUUCUUUUCCAUUUGUGUUCGCUCGAGUAAAAAAAAAAAGGAUUCUAUUGCUCGUAAUUUGUAUUCCACGCCUUUUCUCAUGCAAACUAUUCAAAUAUUUCAACGGACUGACCAGUGGAGCGCAGAUUUAUCGGCGGAAAAACGAGCAGACUAUAAAGUGUAAUGCGUGUACGAUGGUACGUAGUGAAUUUUCGAGAAUUGACUAGCUAACUAUUUCAUAUUGAUCACAGUCGUUUUGUACUUCGCACGAGAUCGAAUCGUUUUACAAAAGCGAAAUCGAUCAGACAAUGAACCCUGGAAUUAAUAAUUAAAUAAUAUUCAUACUCGAUAUCAAACGAAACUUUCAGCUUAAUAAGAACUUCGCAGGGUGAGUACGCGAGCACCCUUACUAGCACGUCGAUUCUCCGAGUUAUUUCAGCUUGAAAACUUGGCGCAGACGUGCCCUUAACUUUCUGCUUCGAAAUAACUAAUUCAAUUAGUAUAUCAGCGCUGCUAUACCCUUCCCUUCUAUGUUUGACUACAUCUUUGCAUGGUGUAUCUAAUCUUCGCGCUAACGUUAACUCUCGCAUUGCUAAUCACCUGAUAAAGCUUCGUUGGGAAAUCAACUGUUCUCGUCAUUUUGAUUUUGACGUUUAUGGUAAGAUAAUUGUAGUAUUUGAUUUGUAUAGUCAUUUAGACGUUUAAGUAAAUGCAAAGUAACAUGUUUUGAAUAAAUAUCAAGAAAUUUGAUUACCCAUUUUUUUAAGCCAUGUAAAAAAAGUUAUAUCAGAAUUUUGUGUUACUAGAAUUUUUCAAGAAGACUUCCAAAGCGUCGUUCAUGUUCGAUACAGAAGAUAGAAUGAAUACAAACGAAUGGAGCAUUCUUUACCUUCAUCGAUAUUACACGGCGAUACGUAUUUUCAA